GAAGCACUAGUUCGGUGACAGCCAUGGAGCUGGGACUGCAGGACAUGUCCUCCCUUUAGGUAAGUGGGAAAAACAGCAGCUGCAGUGUGCAUAGUCCCAGCAUCAGGUAAAUCAAACUUUGUCUUGCUUUCUAGAAAAUGGAGUGGCUUUGGUAGAAAGGAUCAGACGUGCUUUCAGCACAGCCCUGCUCUGGACAGCUCGUGGUUUGCAGAAGGGCAGAGGUCUGCCUGCAAGUUACCACAGCAGGAAAGGGGACAGCUCACAGGGCAGCAGUCAGCAAGAUCUGGUACAAAGCACCACCCAACAAAUUCUGCCCCCCUUAAAACUGUUGCUGUCAACAUCAGAACUGCUCUUUUUGCCAACAGUUUAAAUGAUGACUGGGCAUGGACCUUAAUGCUGCAACCCGGAAUAAGCAAAAUGCCAGGUAGGGAAGGGGUGAGUAAGAGAUUUUGUGGUCAGAGAAAUGAGAUCCAGAAACCAUGGCUUCUGCAAGCAUGUCCCUUGGUAAUGUUGAGCCCCUUUCUCAAGCUGUGGAGAGCUUCCCAAAAUGUCCAAUGUUCAGGGAUUUUCUUCACAGUGAGGUUGAAAGAGUCUGGAUGCAUAUGGCCUUCAAAACAAAAGCUCUUCUUCAAAGAUGCAAUUUGCUAAUUAUUAUUAAUCAUAAUCUGGGAGUGUCCUAAAAAAAUCCCAAUGUAUUUUGAGGAAAAAAUAAAAAGAGCUGCCUCCAUCAGCUUCCUUUCUUCAAGGGAAGGGGGUCAAGGGUCAAGGCAGAAAGACAGGGACAGAAAAAUGUCACCCAAGUCUCAGUCAUGACAGACAUGUUCCUUGAGAGGCCUCCUGCCAGCCUGUGCUGAAAUCCUGGCUGCCAUGGAGGAGACAGGUCCCUGUGCUGCCCAUUGCCAUCAGCCUGCAUCCUUCAGGAGUGAUUGGCUCUGAUUUUGGGGGGCCAGUCUCAGUUCCCCACAAGAGAUGGCAAGCAGAAAAUCUGCCCCCAAAUCUUGUCCUUGAGAGUACCUCCCCUCUUCUAAUAGUUGCUGUUGCUCUCACAGGUGUUUAUAAAGGGAGUGGGGAAAUUCUGGUCCUGUGGGGUUUAUUUACUAAAUUAAAGGAUUGGUACAAUCUAUUAAACGAGUCUUGGUGGUGGUCUAGAGACACAUAAUUGCCAAAUUAAUUUGGUAUACAGUAAGGUUAGCUUCUUUCAAAAUUCUCCACAUGACUUUGAAGAGACAACAUUGGUCCAUCUUAAUUCAGGAUUAAAAUUCUUCAAGAGGUGCUGAUUUAACUCCUGUGGGGUGUCCCUGCUGCCCUCCCUCCCUUGAAAUUCGAAGCAGCAGCAGCAGCAGCAGCAUCUACAGUAAUGGAGAUCAGCUGUGUAAUCUAAGCAAAAGCCAGGAGUUUUGGACACCAGGAAAACAGCCCUUCCCACUCCCUGCCUCAUGGAAGGAAAGACAUUGUGCCCAUGGAUGUAGGGCCCCAGGGUGGUUUUAAAUUAGCUGAAGACUCCUGCAUGAAGUUUGACUGCAAGAACAGUGUGGUAAAACACAUAUUACCACUUUCCUACAUUAUUGUUAAUCACUAUUUUCUAGAACAGUUAAACUGCCAUCCCCUUCCAGAGAAUAAUUACUGCUAUUUAAUUGUAUUUAUA
rnacentral:lncRNA from 13 species